rnacentral:rRNA from 1 species
ACCAUGGGAGUGGGCUGCACCAGAAGUAGAUAGCUUAACCUUCGGGAGGGCGUUUACCACGGUGUGGUUCAUGACUGGGGUGAAGUCGUAACAAGGUAGCCCUAGGGGAACCUGGGGCUGGAUCACCUCCUUACUGA